rnacentral:rRNA from 1 species
GACGAACGCUGGCGGCGUGCUUAACACAUGCAAGUCGAGCGGUAAGGCCCUUUCGGGGGUACACGAGCGGCGAACGGGUGAGUAACACGUGGGUGACCUGCCCUCAGCUCUGGGAUAAGCCUGGGAAACUGGGUCUAAUACCGGAUAUGACUCCAUGACGCAUGUUGUGGGGUGGAAAGCCUUGUGCGGCUGAGGAUGGGCCCGCGGCCUAUCAGCUUGUUGGUGGGGNGAUGGCCUACCAAGGCGACGACGGGUAGCCGGCCUGAGAGGGCGACCGGCCACACUGGGACUGAGACACGGCCCAGACUCCUACGGGAGGCAGCAGGUGGGGAAUCUUGCGCAAUGGGCGAAAGCCUGACGCAGCGACGCCGCGUGAGGGAUGACGGCCU